CGAAUCUAAAACAAAUUAAAAAGAAAUCUGUUCAUACAGUCCAUUUGGGGUGGGGGGAUGCAAACAGAAUAGAUAGGACCUCUGAGCUGGUGGUUUUCUCCAUAGCGAGCAGGUAGAUCCCUCAGUUGCUUUCAUUUCUGAUGAAGUGGCUGAUAAAAACCUCUGUCAGAUUCAAAUUUAUUAAUGAAGAAGGAAGGAGAUGUUCAUGAAGAUUGCAUUUUAAAGUGAAUUUAUUCAGUUUAACAUAUUUGAAAGACUGGGUGAAUUCAGUCAUCCUUUGAAAUUCACAGUUCCCCAAAUGUUGCAAUAAAGUUCUUUAAUUAAAUAAUAUUUAAUAAUAUAGAUGGCCAGAUCAGUCCAGAAUGCAGGCAAAAGGGGAAGGGUUGCCACAUUAUUAAAAGUUUUCUUCUGUGUAGAAAACCCCCUGCAUAUAAUAAUUUAGCACAUCAGUGAUAACUCUCUCUCUCUCUCUCACUCACUCGCUCUGUGUGUGUGGGUGUGUGCAUGUGCGUAGUAUGCUCCUGAUGUGCACAGAACAUUCUGAUAUGGUGGUCCCUACCUAUAUUCUGAAGUGUUACUGUUCUUCCAUUUCAUCAUGGUCAAUGGUAAGUAGUACAUGUUGAAGUGUGAGUUGUCAUCAUGAUAGUCUCCAUUGCCAAGCUUCCAAACAGAGUCCAGCAGUUCAGGCAUUUGAAUUGAUCAAUAUCAAUAAACCACUACAAGCAAGUUUCAUUUCUACCAGGAGCAGUUGGAAAAAAAACUUUGGGGUCUUAAUUGCCCUUAAAUAAAGAACUUUGCAGUGUGUUCCUACAAGAAUAGUUCAUACCCAUAUAUUGUUGCUGAGAAAAGUAAUCGCCCACUGUGUAGAUUGAAGCCAAGUUCAGAUGGAACCAAGAAUUGGGGAGGGGGGCAUUCCAGCAAAGCCAAAAGUGCCAGUGAGGCAGCCUGUAAUCCUGGCUCUGGUACAAUAUUGAUUAUGCUGCAUUUGCAGACCAGGAUUUAGUCCCGUGUCCUUAAUAAAAAUAGAACAAAAGCAUCUUGAGAUGACAAGAAAGGCAUUCUUCCAAAUUUGACAACUCCUGCCCCUCUGGGACUUACUACUCCACAUGCUGCCUGAGUCAUACUUAGCUGCACUAAAAAGUAAUGUUAAAAACCCAACUCUUGACUUCCAAGAAUCCAGCUGCUACCACAUACACGAAGAAGCUAAGGUCUUUAGUCCAAUCUGAGAGAGAGAAGACCCCCCUCCAAGAAUUUUCCUUUAUAACUGAAUCUGAAGUGGCUGUCCAACUGGAGAGAGGGUGCACUCCAACCAGGAUGCCUAUAAGUCUCCAAACUCAGUGGGGCAAGAGGAUUGCAAAGGUGCCUGCCAGCUCUUUGCUCUUUCUGCCCCACAAGCCAGGUAGACGAGCAAUUUUAGCAGUCGAGCUGCAGCAUUUUAGAUGGCGAAGGAUGGGGGCUGGAACACCACGAAGGUACAUCUUAUUCUGGCAGUCUCAGUCUCAGUCUUUUCCCCUUCCCUCCCUUCUCCCUGGAAUGCCUUGUGUAUCCCUUUACCCAGCACUCUAACGACCUUGGAGAAGCAGCCAAUUCAGCCCUUCCAUGUGGGCUGGUUGGGGAGGGGGAUUCAAAUGCAGAUCUCCAGUUUUGAUGUUACUCUUUACUGCCCUCAGAUCUGGGAAUCUGAAGAAUUCUGUGGUCUCCUAGAUGCUGUUUAGGAGGUCAUAGCAUUGCUCUGCCAAUGUAUGAUUUAAUUUGAUUUGGAAUUAAAUCAUUUCAAACUAUUCACCCACAUUUUCUGUGGAAAAACAGGACACAUUUCCAAAAUGCCUCCAUAUGCAACCACACUAAAUCAUUCAACAUAUAAAUAUUUUUUCCACAUAUCCAUUUUGUCAUCCAGGCUAACUGAAAGAUUUGGCAUUAAAUCAUCCGGACAGGAAAUGGUAAAUCUCUCACUUUGUGCAUUGUGGAAGAGUCUGCCCUUGAUCAUUAAUUUCUCAUAUAAAAGUAUCAGUCACUUUUUGCCAACUUUCCGCUUCUCUAUGAUUCACCAACAGUAGUAACUGAGUAAACAAAUAAAAAAAUACACUGGUUAUAUUGCUGAAUUAUUGCCAGUCAACCCAAUUUUGCCUUUCCUCACAAGAGGAAAAAAGUAGGAUAUAGCCACAAUAUAAUAAUAUUAAUAUUAAUAAUAAUAAUGUUUCAAUUUAUUUCAUCUAAAGAAAUUUCAUAUAUUUUUGUGAGAAAGAGGUAUAUCCUAGCUAUAGGUAUAUCUAUAGCCUAGCUAUAUCUUUAUUAUAUGAAAAUGCAUUUACUUCUAAAUAUUUAAUUUGUUUAUUAUGAAAUUAUAUACAAAAUCUGAUACAAUUCUGCUCUUAACUAAUAAGAGGACAUUUAAAUAUACUUAUUUAUGUCCAUUCAUAUUUUAACCUGGUACCUCCACAAUCUAAAAUAAUGCUGGUAACCUUAUAUUGCAUCAAAGAUACCAUUGUAUGAGUCAUUUUUGAACAGAGAUAUUUUGUGCUGAGAUGUUUUCACCUGAAUUUCAUUUACUUCCAUUUCAGAUAAAUUAGUAAAGCCAACAACAGUGGAUACCAUGAGCUGUUCUGGUUUUUUUACCCUUAUCAAAACAAUAUAGGAUGUCUUAUUAUGAGAGAUAAAUGCCAAUUGUUUGAUAAUAAACAUUUUAAAAUGUGCAAUAUCAAGAAUGGAAAUUAGUAAUUUUAUGAAAGAGAAGACACACAAACCCCAUGCAGAUUCACACUGACUUCUGGGUAACUGACAUAAAGAAUGGUUGUCAAGAUUACUUGGAUGUUAUCCAAACAGGAAAUGCUGAGUUAAAGAUUUAUCCCUUCAGCCUAAUUGUUGUUUGGGUAAGUUGUUUGAGUAAUUCACAGCUGUAAGACUAUAUUGUUCCAGGUAGAAAGUUAAUAGUUUGUUUAAAGUCUAUUGAACAACUAUAAUAUGCAAGUAUGUAAAAAAACUGAUGCACAUCUAAUAUACAAAUGUCUAGAAAAAAUGUAGACUUAGUUUUAUCAGUAAAUGUUGAGUAUGGAAUUUUCUUCUCAAAUUUAUGAUUUAAACUGAAUGGGUUUAGCCUAAAAUGUUUUGUGUAAGCCUUUAAAAUGUUUUUAGUAAUGCUUACUAACAAAUAAAUGAUUAAGAUUAUGUGUCUUUAUUUAUUUAUGGGACAGUAGGUAAUAUUAGUUAGGAGGUUUAAACAAAUAAGGGAAUAAUUAUCUGCUCAUUUUAGCAUGCAAGAGCUUGGAUACUCACUUGAGAAGGUCACCUGGCCCAUGCACCUGUCAGCUGAAAAUCCUAAUUAGAAUUGAAUAGGGAACUUGUUACUUAGAAUCAGUUUUUUCUUUUGUAAAUUUUUGCAAAUUUUCUGGAAAGAUGAACAAGUGGGUCCUAGAUCAAAUUGAUCCAGAACUCUCCCUGGAAGCAAACAUGAUGAAACGGAAGCUUUUGUACUUUGGGCACUCACUAGAGAAGACAAUAAUGCUAGGGAAAGUUGAAGGCAGAAGAAGAAGGCCAACUAUGAGACGGCAUGAUUCCAUACAGGAAGCCACCGCCUUAAAGUUAUAAGAGCUGAGCAGGGCUGUCGCGGACAGACUUGGGAGGCCAUCCAUUCAUAGGGUAGUCAUAAGUCAGGGACAACUUGAUGGCACAUGACAUCAGCAACACGGUGCAGCAGUUACGUGAAGAAAACCUUUUAAUGGAUAUAAUGCUACAUAUUAGUGGAAACGUCUAUCAGAAUGAAAAUAAGGCUUAAGUACGGAUUUAAAAUGACCCUCAAAUGGAAUACUCAGAGUCAGACCAUCCACCUGAAGGCCAGGACACAUCUGGGAGGGGAUCUGUGCAUUGGGCUAGCAGUGCUACCCAGGUGUGUUACUUUUCAGGUUUCAUUGGCUGCUGCCAGCAUGGCUAAUGUGCAGGCCUGCUGUGAGCUGUGGUCCACAACAUCUGCAAGGUUGGAAAAGGCUGCUCGAGGCAAUGGGUGCACUAUGGUGCCUCUCACCACAGCCGAUUAAAAAAGUGCCUGUGACUUGACAGCUCUGAAUGUUCUGCAGUCCUGUGAUGCUUUAUGUGUUUGCUUCAUUGGCAUGGGGAAUGUUUCCGGAAGCCUGGGUCUAAGCAUACAUAUGUUCACCGCUGGAAUUUGUUUUCCAGCAUCAGAACUGGACUUGAAACGGUUUUUCACAAGAAUCCUGGUUAAUCUCCAAGCUGUCUUCAUUUAGAUAAAUCCUAAACCUUCAUUUAGAUAAAUCCUAAACCAGGAUUUAUCAUCACCAUCAUCACCAUCACCAUCAUCAUCAUCUACACUUCUAUACCACCCGUAGCUGAAGCUCUGGACAGUUCUGUUUUUAUAUGUUGCUUUUGAUUUGAUUUAGGCAUAAAUAUUUAUGUACAUGAUGCCCUUUUUCCUCCAAGGAACCCAAAGUAGCUUACCUAAUCUCCUCCUCUGUAUUUUAUCUUCACGCCAACCCUAUGAGGUGGCUUAGGCUGAGCAUUCAUAACUGGCUCAAAGU